AAAUUGAAGAGUUUGAUCAUGGCUCAGAUUGAACGCUGGCGGCAGGCCUAACACAUGCAAGUCGAACGGUAACAGGAAACAGCUUGCUGUUUCGCUGACGAGUGGCGGACGGGUGAGUAAUGUCUGGGAAACUGCCUGAUGGAGGGGGAUAACUACUGGAAACGGUAGCUAAUACCGCAUAACGUCGCAAGACCAAAGAGGGGGACCUUCGGGCCUCUUGCCAUCGGAUGUGCCCAGAUGGGAUUAGCUAGUAGGUGGGGUAACGGCUCACCUAGGCGACGAUCCCUAGCUGGUCUGAGAGGAUGACCAGCCACACUGGAACUGAGACACGGUCCAGACUCCUACGGGAGGCAGCAGUGGGGAAUAUUGCACAAUGGGCGCAAGCCUGAUGCAGCCAUGCCGCGUGUAUGAAGAAGGCCUUCGGGUUGUAAAGUACUUUCAGCGGGGAGGAAGGGAGUAAAGUUAAUACCUUUACUCAUUGACGUUACCCGCAGAAGAAGCACCGGCUAACUCCGUGCCAGCAGCCGCGGUAAUACGGAGGGUGCAAGCGUUAAUCGGAAUUACUGGGCGUAAAGCGCACGCAGGCGGUUUGUUAAGUCAGAUGUGAAAUCCCCGGGCUCAACCUGGGAACUGCAUCUGAUACUGGCAAGCUUGAGUCUCGUAGAGGGGGGUAGAAUUCCAGGUGUAGCGGUGAAAUGCGUAGAGAUCUGGAGGAAUACCGGUGGCGAAGGCGGCCCCCUGGACGAAGACUGACGCUCAGGUGCGAAAGCGUGGGGAGCAAACAGGAUUAGAUACCCUGGUAGUCCACGCCGUAAACGAUGUCGACUUGGAGGUUGUGCCCUUGAGGCGUGGCUUCCGGAGCUAACGCGUUAAGUCGACCGCCUGGGGAGUACGGCCGCAAGGUUAAAACUCAAAUGAAUUGACGGGGGCCCGCACAAGCGGUGGAGCAUGUGGUUUAAUUCGAUGCAACGCGAAGAACCUUACCUGGUCUUGACAUCCACGGAAGUUUUCAGAGAUGAGAAUGUGCCUUCGGGAACCGUGAGACAGGUGCUGCAUGGCUGUCGUCAGCUCGUGUUGUGAAAUGUUGGGUUAAGUCCCGCAACGAGCGCAACCCUUAUCCUUUGUUGCCAGCGGUCCGGCCGGGAACUCAAAGGAGACUGCCAGUGAUAAACUGGAGGAAGGUGGGGAUGACGUCAAGUCAUCAUGGCCCUUACGACCAGGGCUACACACGUGCUACAAUGGCGCAUACAAAGAGAAGCGACCUCGCGAGAGCAAGCGGACCUCAUAAAGUGCGUCGUAGUCCGGAUUGGAGUCUGCAACUCGACUCCAUGAAGUCGGAAUCGCUAGUAAUCGUGGAUCAGAAUGCCACGGUGAAUACGUUCCCGGGCCUUGUACACACCGCCCGUCACACCAUGGGAGUGGGUUGCAAAAGAAGUAGGUAGCUUAACCUUCGGGAGGGCGCUUACCACUUUGUGAUUCAUGACUGGGGUGAAGUCGUAACAAGGUAACCGUAGGGGAACCUGCGGUUGGAUCACCUCCUUACCUUAAAGAAGC
rnacentral:rRNA from 2 species